rnacentral:rRNA from 1 species
AUUGAACGCUGGCGGAAUGCUUUACACAUGCAAGUCGAACGGCAGCACGGACUUCGGUCUGGUGGCGAGUGGCGAACGGGUGAGUAACAUAUCGGAACGUAUCCAAUAAUGGGGGAUAACGAGUCGAAAGAUUCGCUAAUACCGCAUACGCCCUACGGGGGAAAGCUAGGGACCUUCGGGCCUGGCGUUAAUGGAGCGGCCGAUAUCUGACUAGCUAGUUGGUGAGGUAAAGGCUCACCAAGGCGACGAUCAGUAGCUGGUCUGAGAGGACGACCAGCCACCCUGGAACUGAGACACGGUCCAGACUCCUACGGGAGGCAGCAGUGGGGAAUUUUGGACAAUGGGGGCAACCCUGAUCCAGCCAUUCCGCGUGAGUGAAGAAGGCCUUCGGGUUGUAAAGCUCUUUCGCAAGGGAAGAAAACUUAGUCUCUAACAUAGACUGAGGCUGACGGUACCUUGAUGAGAAGCACCGGCUAACUACGUGCCAGCCGCCGCUGUAA